GAGCAACAGGGAUUGCCCCAGUAACGGCGAGUGAAGCGGCAACAGCUCAAAUUUGAAAUCUGGCCCCUCGGGGUCCGAGUUGUAAUUUGUAGAGGAUGCUUUUGGUGAGGUGCCGCCCGAGUUCCCUGGAACGGGACGCCACAGAGGGUGAGAGCCCCGUCUGGCUGGCCACCGAGCCUCUGUAAAGCUCCUUCGACGAGUCGAGUAGUUUGGGAAUGCUGCUCAAAAUGGGAGGUAUAUGUCUUCUAAAGCUAAAUAUUGGCCAGAGACCGAUAGCGCACAAGUAGAGUGAUCGAAAGAUGAAAAGCACCUUGAAAAGAGGGUUAAAUAGUACGUGAAAUUGUUGAAAGGGAAGCGCUUGUGACCAGACUUGGGCGCGGCGGAUCAUCCGGGGUUCUCUCCGGUGCACUUCGCCGCGUCUAGGCCAGCAUCAGUUCGUCGCGGGGGAAAAAGGCUUCGGGAACGUGGCUCCUCCGGGAGUGUUAUAGCCCGUUGCAUAAUACCCUGCGGUGGACUGAGGACCGCGCAUCUGCAAGGAUGCUGGCGUAAUGGUCACCAGCGACCCGUCUUGAAACACGGACCAAGGAGUCGUCUUCGUAUGCGAGUGUUCGGGUGUCAAACCCCUACGCGUAAUGAAAGUGAACGCAGGUGAGAGCUUCGGCGCAUCAUCGACCGAUCCUGAUGUUCUCGGACGGAUUUGAGUAAGAGCAUACGGGGCCGGACCCGAAAGAAGGUGAACUAUGCCUGUAUAGGGUGAAGCCAGAGGAAACUCUGGUGGAGGCUCGCAGCGGUUCUGACGUGCAAAUCGAUCGUCAAAUAUGGGCAUGGGGGCGAAAGACUAAUCGAACCUUCUAGUAGCUGGUUUCCG
rnacentral:rRNA from 1 species